AACGAACGCUGGCGGCGUGCCUAACACAUGCAAGUCGAACGAGAAAGGGGCUUCGGCUCCGAGUAAAGUGGCGCACGGGUGAGUAACACGUAGGUAACCUGCCUCUAAGAUUGGGAUAACUUGUCGAAAGAUGAGCUAAUACCAAAUAAGACCACGGUUUCCUCGGGGACAGGGGUCAAAGGUAGCCUCUAUUUAUAAGCUAUCGCUGAGAGAUGGGCCUGCGUACCAUUAGCUAGUUGGUGAGGUAACGGCUCACCAAGGCAAAGAUGGUUAGCUGGUCUGAGAGGAUGAUCAGCCACACUGGAACUGAGACACGGUCCAGA
rnacentral:rRNA from 1 species